rnacentral:rRNA from 1 species
UAUCCUACGGGACGCAGCAGUGGGGAAUAUUGCACAAUGGGGGAAACCCUGAUGCAGCGACGCCGCGUGAGUGAAGAAGUAUUUCGGUAUGUAAAGCUCUAUCAGCAGGGAAGAAAAUGACGGUACCUGACUAAGAAGCCCCGGCUAACUACGUGCCAGCAGCCGCGGUAAUACGUAGGGGGCAAGCGUUAUCCGGAUUUACUGGGUGUAAAGGGAGCGUAGACGGUGAUGCAAGUCAGAAGUGAAAGCCCGCGGCCCAACUGCGGGACUGCUUUGGAAACUGCCCGGCUAGAGUGCUGGAGAGG